rnacentral:rRNA from 1 species
ACCGGCAGCUCAAGUGGUGGCCAUUAUUAUUGGGCCUAAAGCGUUCGUAGCCGGUUUUCUCCUUCUCUUCUGAAAUCCCGCAGCUUAACUGUGGGACUUGCUGGAGAUACUAUCAGACUUGAGGUCGGGAGAGGUUAGGGGUACUCCCAGGGUAGGGGUGAAAGCCUAUAAUCCUGGGAGGACCACCUGUGGCGAAGGCGCCUAACUGGAACGAACCUGACGGUGAGUAACGAAAGCCAGGGGCGCGAACCG